rnacentral:rRNA from 1 species
GAUGUCGACUUGGAGGUUGUGCCCUGAGGCGUGGCUUCGGAGCUAACGCGUUAAGUCGACCGCUGGGGAGUACGGCCGCAAGGUUAAAACUCAAAUGAAUUGACGGGGGCCCGCACAGCGGUGGAGCAUGUGGUUUAAUUCGAUGCAACGCGAAGAACCUUACCUGGCCUUGACAUCCAGAGAACUUAGCAGAGAUGCUUUGGUGCCUUCGGGAACUCUGAGACAGGUGCUGCAUGGCUGUCGUCAGCUCGUGUUGUGAAAUGUUGGGUUAAGUCCCGCAACGAGCGCAACCCUUAUCCUUUGUUGCCAGCGGUUCGGCCGGGAACUCAAAGGAGACUGCCGGUGAUAAACCGGAGGAAGGUGGGGAUGACGUCAAGUCAUCAUGGCCCUUACGGCCAGGGCUACACACGUGCUACAAUGGCGCAUACAAAGAGAAGCGACCUCGCGAGAGCAAGCGGACCUCAUAAAGUGCGUCGUAGUCCGGAUUGGAGUCUGCAACUCGACUCCAUGAAGUCGGAAUCGCUAGUAAUCGUAGAUCAGAAUGCUACGGUGAAUACGUUCCCGGGCCUUGUACGCACCGCCCGUCACACCAUGGGAGUGGGUUGCAAAAGAAGUAGGUAGCUUAACCUCCGGGAGGGCGCUUACCACUUUGUGAUUCAUGACUGGGGUGAAGUCGUAACAAGGUAACCAAGGGCGAAUUCUG